GACGACGUUGAUAGGCCGGGUGUGUAAGCGCAGCGAUGCGUUGAGCUAACCGGUACUAAUGAACCGUGAGGCUUAACCUU
rnacentral:rRNA from 7 species